UACGUAGGUCCCGAGCGUUGUCCGGAUUUAUUGGGCGUAAAGCGAGCGCAGGUGGUUUAUUAAGUCUGGUGUAAAAGGCAGUGGCUCAACCAUUGUAUGCAUUGGAAACUGGUAGACUUGAGUGCAGGAGAGGAGAGUGGAAUUCCAUGUGUAGCGCUGAAAUGCGUAGAUAUAUGGAGGAACACCGGUGGCGAAAGCGGCUCUCUGGCCUGUAACUGACACUGAGGCUCGAAAGCGUGGGGAGCAAACAGG
rnacentral:rRNA from 1 species